AAACCAACAGGGAUUGCCCCAGUAACGGCGAGUGAAGCGGCAACAGCUCAAAUUUGAAAUCUGGUCCCCAGGGCCCGAGUUGUAAUUUGUAGAGGAUGCUUUUGGCGAGGCGCCUUCCGAGUUCCCUGGAACGGGACGCCACAGAGGGUGAGAGCCCCGUCUGGUCGGAUGCCAAGCCUAUGUAAAGCUCCUUCGACGAGUCGAGUAGUUUGGGAAUGCUGCUCAAAAUGGGAGGUAUAUGUCUUCUAAAGCUAAAUACCGGCCAGAGACCGAUAGCGCACAAGUAGAGUGAUCGAAAGAUGAAAAGCACUUUGAAAAGAGGGUUAAAAAGUACGUGAAAUUGUUGAAAGGGAAGCGCCUAUGACCAGACUUGGGCCCGGUGAAUCAUCCAGCGUUCUCGCUGGUGCACUUUGCCGGGCACAGGCCAGCAUCAGUUUGGCGCGGGGGAUAAAGGCUUCGGGAAUGUGGCUCCCCUCGGGGAGUGUUAUAGCCCGUUGUGUAAUACCCUGCGCCGGACUGAGGUACGCGCUCCGCAAGGAUGCUUGCGUAAUGGUCAUCAGCGAC
rnacentral:rRNA from 1 species